rnacentral:tRNA from 2 species
GCAUUAAUAGCUUAGUUAAAAAGCAUCGGUCUUGUAAUCCGAAGAUCGGAGGUUAAACUCCUCCUUAAUGCC